GGAGCUGCUGCAGGCUUAGUGCCUGGUGGGCCAGGCUUUGGCCCGGGAGUAGUUGGUGUCCCAGGAGCUGGCGUUCCAGGUGUUGGUGUCCCAGGAGCUGGGAUUCCAGUUGUCCCAGGUGCUGGGAUCCCAGGUGCUGCGGUUCCAGGGGUUGUGUCACCAGAAGCAGCUGCUAAGGCAGCUGCGAAGGCAGCCAAAUACGGGGCCAGGCCCGGAGUCGGAGUUGGAGGCAUUCCUACUUACGGGGUUGGAGCUGGGGGCUUUCCCGGCUUUGGUGUCGGAGUCGGAGGUAUCCCUGGAGUCGCAGGUGUCCCUAGUGUCGGAGGUGUUCCCGGAGUCGGAGGUGUCCCGGGAGUUGGCAUUUCCCCCGAAGCUCAGGCAGCAGCUGCCGCCAAGGCUGCCAAGUACGGGUUAGUUCCUGGUGUCGGCGUGGCUCCUGGAGUUGGUGUGGCUCCUGGUGUCGGCGUGGCUCCUGGCGUUGGCGUGGCUCCUGGAGUUGGCGUGGCUCCUGGAGUUGGUGUGGCUCCUGGUGUUGGUGUGGCUCCCGGCGUUGGUGUGGCUCCCGGCGUUGGCGUGGCUCCCGGCAUUGGCCCUGGUGGAGUUG
rnacentral:lncRNA from 1 species